CCUACGGGAGGCUGCAGUGAGGAAUAUUGGUCAAUGGGCGCGAGCCUGAACCAGCCAAGUAGCGUGAAGGAUGACUGCCCUACGGGUUGUAAGCUUCUUUUAUAAAGGAAUAAGGUGAGGCACGUGUGCCUUUUUGUAUGUACUUUAUGAAUAAGGAUCGGCUAACUCCGUGCCAGCAGCCGCGGUAAUACGGAGGAUCCGAGCGUUAGCCGGAUUUAUUGGGGUUAAAGGGAGCGUAGAUGGGUUGUUAAGUCAGGUGUGAAAGUUUGGGGCUCAACCGUAAAAUUGCAAUUGAUACUGGCAGCCUUGAGUACAGUUGAGGUAGGUGGAAUUCGUGGUGUAGCGGUGAAAUGCUUAGAUAUCACGAAGAACUCCGAUGGCGAAGGCAGCUUACUAAACUGCCACUGACAUUGAUGCUCGAAAGUGUGGGUAUCAAACAGGAUUAGAUACCCUUGUAGUC
rnacentral:rRNA from 1 species